UUAAGCAGAUUGGGAGGUACUGCCUCUAGAGGAAAAGGCCAGUCAGGAAGUCCACCAAUUUUUGUUGUAUAAUGAUCAGAUGGCUCACGAUUAUCAUCGGCCCAUGGUCCAGGCAUACCAAGUAGACCUCGACCCGUCAUCGUCUACUCCACCGUUACAACAGAAACACCAAGUUCCGAGGACGGCGAAGACAAAAUACCUGAACCACUCAGGAGGAGUGGAAGCAGGACACUGUGUGUGCGCAUGCUUGUGCGCACCGUUU
rnacentral:misc_RNA from 1 species